CAGUCGCCACGGUAAAACGGAGGGUGCAAGCGUUAAUCGGAAUUACUGGGCGUAAAGCGCACGCAGGCGGUUUGUUAAGUCAGAUGUGAAAUCCCCGGGCUCAACCUGGGAAUGGCAGUGGAUACUGGCUCGCUAGAGUGUGUCAGAGGAUGGUGGAAUUCCCGGUGUAGCGGUGAAAUGCGUAGAGAUCUGGAGGAAUACCGGUGGCGAAGGCGGCCCCCUGGACAAAGACUGACGCUCAGGUGCGAAAGCGUGGGGAGCAAACAGGAUUAGAUACCCCUGUAGUCCCUGUCUCUUAUAC
rnacentral:rRNA from 1 species